rnacentral:lncRNA from 1 species
UGUAACUCAUCAUUAGCUUGCUGUAGAGUAGAAAUGUUCUCAGUUUGCUUUUCAACCACAAUCUCAAGAUUCCUGACAGAAGCCUGAGACGUCUGUAACUCCAAUAGAGCUGUGUCCUUCUCUGCACCUAGGUCUGAAAUUUGAGCAUGCAGAUUGCUCCUGGCUUCUUCAAACUGCUUGUCCAAGGUGGAGUUGUUUUCUAGCUGUAUGGAAAGCUCCUCUUUCAGUCGUGUCACCUCGUUCUCAAGAUUUUGUACUGAAGUCUCUGACUGCUUCAGUUGUGUUAGCACUGUAUCCUUCUCUUCUUGUAUUGCCUUCAACUCAUCCUGCAUCUCCGCCUUGGCUUGUUGUGAUUGCUCAGUCAAAGUGUAGAUGUUCUUCUGUAGCUCAUCAUUAGCUUGCUGUAGAGUAGAAAUGUUCUCAGUUUGCUUUUCAACCACAGUCUCAAGAUUCCUGACAGAAGCCUGAGACGUCUGUAACUCUAAUAGAGCUGUGUCCUUCUCUGCACCUAGGUCUGAAAUUUGAGCAUGCAGAUUGCUCCUGGCUUCUUCAAACUGCUUGUCCAAGGUGGAGUUGUUUUCUAGCUGUUCGGAAAGCUCCUCUUUCAGCCGUGUCACCUCAUUCUCAAGAUUUUGUACUGAAGUCUCUGACUGCUUCAGUUGUGUUAGCACUGUAUCCUUCUCUUCUUGUAUUGCCUUCAACUCAUCCUGCAUCUCCGCCUUGGCUUGUUGUGAUUGCUCAGUCAAAGUGUAGAUGUUCUUCUGUAACUCAUCAUUAGCUUGCUGUAGAGUAGAAAUGUUCUCAGUUUGCUUUUCAACCACAAUCUCAAGAUUCCUGACAGAAGCCUGAGACGUCUGUAACUCCAAUAGAGCUGUGUCCUUCUCUGCACCUAGGUCUGAAAUUUGAGCAUGCAGAUUGCUCCUGGCUUCUUCAAACUGCUUGUCCAAGGUGGAGUUGUUUUCUAGCUGUAUGGAAAGCUCCUCUUUCAGUCGUGUCACCUCGUUCUCAAGAUUUUGUACUGAAGUCUCUGACUGCUUCAGUUGUGUUAGCACUGUAUCCUUCUCUUCUUGUAUUGCCUUCAACUCAUCCUGCAUCUCCGCCUUGGCUUGUUGUGAUUGCUCAGUCAAAGUGUAGAUGUUCUUCUGUAGCUCAUCAUUAGCUUGCUGUAGAGUAGAAAUGUUCUCAGUUUGCUUUUCAACCACAAUCUCAAGAUUCCUGACAGAAGCCUGAGACGUCUGUAACUCCAAUAGAGCUGUGUCCUUCUCUGCACCUAG